rnacentral:rRNA from 1 species
CUACGGGAUGCACCAGUGGGGAAUAUUGGGCAAUGGGCGCAAGCCUGACCCAGCAACACCGCGUGAGGGAAGAAUGUCUUCGGAUUGUAAACCUCUGUCCUUGGGGACGAAAAAAAUGACGGUACCCAAGGAGGAAGCUCCGGCUAACUACGUGCCAGCAGCCGCGGUAAUACGUAGGGAGCAAGCGUUGUCCGGAAUUAUUGGGCGUAAAGGGUGCGUAGGCGGCGCUGUAAGUCAGAUGUGAAAUCCCCGGGCUUAACUCGGGAGUUGCAUUUGAAACUACAGUGCUUGAGUAAAGAAGGGGUAAGUGGAAUUCCUAGUGUAGCGGUGGAAUGCGUAGAUAUUAGGAGGAACACCAGUGGCGAAGGCGACUUACUGGUCUUUUACUGACGCUGAGGCACGAAAGCGUGGGGAGCAAACAGGAUUAGAUACCCCCGUAGUC